rnacentral:rRNA from 1 species
GACGAACGCUGGCGGCGUGCUUAACACAUGCAAGUCGAACGGAAAGGCCUCUUUCGGGGGGUACUCGAGUGGCGAACGGGUGAGUAACACGUGAGUAACCUGCCCUUGACUUUGGGAUAACUUCAGGAAACUGGGGCUAAUACCGGAUAGGAGCUCCUGCUGCAUGGUGGGGGUUGGAAAGUUUCGGCGGUUGGGGAUGGACUCGCGGCUUAUCAGCUUGUUGGUGGGGUAGUGGCUUACCAAGGCUUUGACGGGUAGCCGGCCGGAGAGGGUGACCGGCCACAGUGGGAAUGGGGAACGGGCCAGGCCCCUACGGGAGGCAGCAGGGGGGAGUAUUGAACAAUGGGUGGAAGCCUGAUGCAGGAACGCCGGGUGCGGGGUGACGGACUUCGGGUUGGAAACCGAUUUCGCUCAUGAAGGAGCUUUGUGUGACGGUAGUGGGUAAAGAAGCACCGGCUAACUACGUG